AAGCCAUAUAAAGCGCCAGGACUGCCCGGAUCGAUUCGGCAGUUGACGAGGAGGAGGAGCAUCGAGUUUUCGGCGGAUGCCUCCCGACUGAUCGGAUGCACAGUCGUAGCCCGUUCUUAAAUCAUGAAGGUGACUUCGUGGACAAAGGAGCGGGAUUGCACCCA
rnacentral:ncRNA from 2 species